rnacentral:rRNA from 1 species
CACGGAGGGGGCUAGCGUUGUUCGGAAUGACUGGGCGUAAAGCGCGCGUAGGCGGUUCGGUAAGUUGGAUGUGAAAGCCCGGGGCUCAACCCCGGAUGUGCGUUCAAAACUAGCCGGACUUGAGACCGAGAGAGGAGGGCGGAAUUCCCAGUGUAGAGGUGAAAUUCGUAGAUAUUGGGAAGAACACCGGUGGCGAAGGCGGCUCUCUGGCUCGGUUCUGACGCUGAGGUGCGAAAGCGUGGGGAGCAAACAGGAUUAGAAA